rnacentral:rRNA from 1 species
GACGAACGCUGGCGGCGUGCUUAACACAUGCAAGUCGAACGGAACACCCUUGACAGAGGUUUCGGCCAAUGAAGAGGAAUGUUUAGUGGCGGACUGGUGAGUAACGCGUGAGGAACCUGCCUUUCAGAGGGGGACAACAGUUGGAAACGACUGCUAAUACCGCAUGAAGCAGCGAGGGGACAUCCCCUUGCUGUCAAAGAUUUAUCGCUGAAAGAUGGCCUCGCGUCUGAUUAGCUAGUUGGUGGGGUAACGGCCCACCAAGGCGACGAUCAGUAGCCGGACUGAGAGGUUGACCGGCCACAUUGGGACUGAGAUACGGCCCAGACUCCUACGGGAGGCAGCAGUGGGGAAUAUUGGGCAAUGGACGCAAGUCUGACCCAGCAACGCCGCGUGAAGGAAGAAGGCUUUCGGGUUGUAAACUUCUUUUAACAGGGAAGAGAAGAAGACGGUACCUGUUGAAUAAGCCACGGCUAACUACGUGCCAGCAGCCGCGGUAAUACGUAGGUGGCAAGCGUUGUC